ACUGCCAGAAUCGCCCAGCUUCCCGGCACACCUAUCAACCAGUCGUUCCCAGCACUGCCCAGUAUGCAGCCUCCAGGCAGAGGGCCUGGAUGUCUUGGCAGCCCACCCCAAAGCCCAAACUCCUGCCCGCAUGCUGGGAAGGUGAGCCCUUGCCUGGAGAGCCCAGCAGGGGAAAUAGAAGGAGGGAAGGAGGCCUGCUCCUUCCCCGGAGCUCUGCUCUGCGGCUGCAGGAAGACCCGCAGAGGCCCUGGGCAGCAGAACUGUGGACAGCAAGGCUGGAGUUGUGAAACCCAACCACUCAGCUGGAUUCCAGAAGCUCAGGUGGUGGUGACUAAACCUGGCCUUACUUAAAAUG
rnacentral:lncRNA from 1 species